GGGUUGUGAGGUUAAGCGACUAAGCGUACACGGUGGAUGCCCUGGCAGUCAGAGGCGAUGAAGGACGUGCUAAUCUGCGAUAAGCGCCGGUAAGGUGAUAUGAACCGUUAUAACCGGCGAUUUCCGAAUGGGGAAACCCAGUGUGAUUCGUCACACUAUCAUUAACUGAAUCCAUAGGUUAAUGAGGCGAACCGGGGGAACUGAAACAUCUAAGUACCCCGAGGAAAAGAAAUCAACCGAGAUUCCCCCAGUAGCGGCGAGCGAACGGGGAGGAGCCCAGAGCCUGAAUCAGCAUGUGUGUUAGUGGAAGCGUCUGGAAAGGCGCGCGAUACAGGGUGACAGCCCCGUACACAAAAGCGCAUGUGCUGUGAGCUCGAUGAGUAGGGCGGGACACGUGGUAUCCUGUCUGAAUAUGGGGGGACCAUCCUCCAAGGCUAAAUACUCCUGACUGACCGAUAGUGAACCAGUACCGUGAGGGAAAGGCGAAAAGAACCCCGGCGAGGGGAGUGAAAAAGAACCUGAAACCGUGUACGUACAAGCAGUGGGAGCACAGGUUUACCUGUGUGACUGCGUACCUUUUGUAUAAUGGGUCAGCGACUUAUAUUCUGUAGCAAGGUUAACCGUAUAGGGGAGCCGUAGGGAAACCGAGUCUUAACCGGGCGUUAAGUUGCAGGGUAUAGACCCGAAACCCGGUGAUCUAGCCAUGGGCAGGUUGAAGGUUGGGUAACACUAACUGGAGGACCGAACCGACUAAUGUUGAAAAAUUAGCGGAUGACCUGUGGCUGGGGGUGAAAGGCCAAUCAAACCGGGAGAUAGCUGGUUCUCCCCGAAAGCUAUUUAGGUAGCGCCUCGUGAAUUCAUCUCCGGGGGUAGAGCACUGUUUCGGCUAGGGGGCCAUCCCGGCUUACCAACCCGAUGCAAACUGCGAAUACCGGAGAAUGUUAUCACGGGAGACACACGGCGGGUGCUAACGUCCGUCGUGAAGAGGGAAACAACCCAGACCGCCAGCUAAGGUCCCAAAGUCAUGGUUAAGUGGGAAACGAUGUGGGAAGGCCCAGACAGCCAGGAUGUUGGCUUAGAAGCAGCCAUCAUUUAAAGAAAGCGUAAUAGCUCACUGGUCGAGUCGGCCUGCGCGGAAGAUGUAACGGGGCUAAACCAUGCACCGAAGCUGCGGCAGCGACGCUGAUGCGUUGUUGGGUAGGGGAGCGUUCUGUAAGCCUGCGAAGGUGACCUGUGAGGGUUGCUGGAGGUAUCAGAAGUGCGAAUGCUGACAUAAGUAACGAUAAAGCGGGUGAAAAGCCCGCUCGCCGGAAGACCAAGGGUUCCUGUCCAACGUUAAUCGGGGCAGGGUGAGUCGACCCCUAAGGCGAGGCCGAAAGGCGUAGUCGAUGGGAAACGGGUUAAUAUUCCCGUACUUGGUGUUACUGCGAAGGGGGGACGGAGAAGGCUAUGUUGGCCGGGCGACGGUUGUCCCGGUUUAAGCGUGUAGGUGUGUGUUCCAGGUAAAUCCGGUUCACUUUAACACUGAGGCGUGAUGACGAGGCACUACGGUGCUGAAGCAACAAAUGCCCUGCUUCCAGGAAAAGCCUCUAAGCAUCAGGUAACAUCAAAUCGUACCCCAAACCGACACAGGUGGUCAGGUAGAGAAUACCAAGGCGCUUGAGAGAACUCGGGUGAAGGAACUAGGCAAAAUGGUGCCGUAACUUCGGGAGAAGGCACGCUGACACGUAGGUGAAGUGAUUUACUCACGGAGCUGAAGUCAGUCGAAGAUACCAGCUGGCUGCAACUGUUUAUUAAAAACACAGCACUGUGCAAACACGAAAGUGGACGUAUACGGUGUGACGCCUGCCCGGUGCCGGAAGGUUAAUUGAUGGGGUCAGCGCAAGCGAAGCUCCUGAUCGAAGCCCCGGUAAACGGCGGCCGUAACUAUAACGGUCCUAAGGUAGCGAAAUUCCUUGUCGGGUAAGUUCCGACCUGCACGAAUGGCGUAAUGAUGGCCAGGCUGUCUCCACCCGAGACUCAGUGAAAUUGAACUCGCUGUGAAGAUGCAGUGUACCCGCGGCAAGACGGAAAGACCCCGUGAACCUUUACUAUAGCUUGACACUGAACAUUGAGCCUUGAUGUGUAGGAUAGGUGGGAGGCUUUGAAGUGUGGACGCCAGUCUGCAUGGAGCCGACCUUGAAAUACCACCCUUUAAUGUUUGAUGUUCUAACGUGGACCCGUAAUCCGGGUUGCGGACAGUGUCUGGUGGGUAGUUUGACUGGGGCGGUCUCCUCCUAAAGAGUAACGGAGGAGCACGAAGGUUGGCUAAUCCUGGUCGGACAUCAGGAGGUUAGUGCAAUGGCAUAAGCCAGCUUGACUGCGAGCGUGACGGCGCGAGCAGGUGCGAAAGCAGGUCAUAGUGAUCCGGUGGUUCUGAAUGGAAGGGCCAUCGCUCAACGGAUAAAAGGUACUCCGGGGAUAACAGGCUGAUACCGCCCAAGAGUUCAUAUCGACGGCGGUGUUUGGCACCUCGAUGUCGGCUCAUCACAUCCUGGGGCUGAAGUAGGUCCCAAGGGUAUGGCUGUUCGCCAUUUAAAGUGGUACGCGAGCUGGGUUUAGAACGUCGUGAGACAGUUCGGUCCCUAUCUGCCGUGGGCGCUGGAGAACUGAGGGGGGCUGCUCCUAGUACGAGAGGACCGGAGUGGACGCAUCACUGGUGUUCGGGUUGUCAUGCCAAUGGCACUGCCCGGUAGCUAAAUGCGGAAGAGAUAAGUGCUGAAAGCAUCUAAGCACGAAACUUGCCCCGAGAUGAGUUCUCCCUGAGACUUAGAGUCUCCUGAAGGAACGUUGAAGACGACGACGUUGAUAGGCCGGGUGUGUAAGCGCAGCGAUGCGUUGAGCUAACCGGUACUAAUGAACCGUGAGGCUUAACCUUACAACGCCGAAG
rnacentral:rRNA from 2 species